rnacentral:rRNA from 1 species
CCCUUAGAUGUUCUGGGCUGCACGCGCGCUACAAUGGCGUUUUCAAAAAGAUUGCUAAUCCGAAAGGACCAGCGGAUCUUCGAAGUGGCGUCGUGAUCGGGACAGUUGAUUGCAAUUAUUCGACUCGAACGAGGAAUUCCUUGUAAUCGUGCGUCAUCAGCGCACGCUGAAUACGUCCCUGUUCUUUGUACACACCGCCCGUCGCUCCUACCGAUCGAGCGAUCCAAUGAAUGUUUCGGAGCGGAACUGAGAUGCUAAUGCGUCUCUUUUACGCGAAUUUGUGUGAAGUUGAUCGCUUAGAGGAAGGAGAAGUCGUAACA